UUGGCCAAAGAUAGUCGCAAGUAAACGCCAAGCUACACGACGGGAAUUCCCGGAGGUCUUGUUCCAACCCCGUGAGUGCCUGUUUAAAUUACAAGAUUUGAAUAACAGUUCAGCGAGAUGGUUGUACCAACUGCAAUAAAAAGACAAUGAAGAACAAUCAUGUCUGAUCAGAAAUGGCCCAAAGAAUGAUAGACAAGCCUGCAUAACAAUGAUCAGCCAAGCAAUGUUGGAAAACAUCAAAUAGCGGCUCAACUGAGCAUGCAAAUUAACAAACAUACCAUCGCAUCAAAAUAUAACGUCGUAUUAGCGCACAUCUAAUUUUUAGAAAAAACACUAAUGGCUGCAAUAAUCUACCUCUCCUUACAUUCUUUCAUAUUGCCAUCAUGCCAGUUAUUUGGAGCUAGAUAGCCUCACUACUUGUUGCAUAUCAUAUGUAUUCAUAGCCACAGCUCCACAAUUGAUUCGAAUGAAGAUAAGAUCAUAUGCCUAUCUUUGCUCGAAAGGAAGUUUUGAGAGCUAAUCGAAUGUAGAGUUAUCUCCCCCUCUUUUACAGCUAAAUACUUUCUCAGUAGUUUCCAAUAAACCGCGCAAAAUCAUCUCCCCUGCCAUGAUUCAAUCGCUUUAACUCGGUCAAAUGCAUAAAACCCAAAACAUCUAGCACCACUCGCUAUCCUUUUGCUCUGUUUCCUCAAAAGUUGAAACCACGAAGUCAAUCCGGACAUGCCUCUAUUCUCUAUUCUGGAAAUGCGUAGGUCCAUAGACAGAAAGAAUUUUCCUUUACAUCGUAUGUUAAUACUUUCCAAAGGGCUUCAAGUCGAGUGACGUUUUUUUAUCAUAAACUUUGCGGUCAAUACUAUGGAGCUCGGAGGCAAAAGCGACGUUGUAAAGUAUAUCUAAUGUAUGCACAGAGAGUACAUCAAAGUCAUUAGGUAGAACAUAUAAAAUAUGGGAAAAUUAAGAGUCCUAAAUUUAUUACAUUUUUACCAAUUCAGUCAUAAACAUUGUAGUUUUACCAAUUGAAUCCUAGACUUUUCAAUAUUUGCUAAUUGAGUUCAUUCGGCCAAUUUUGAUUGGAAUUCGCUAAUGUGAACGUCAACCAUCCUACAUAAUACGAUCAAAGUUGACGUGGACAAAAUUAAUUAUUUUUUAAAAUUUGUCUAAUUUUUUAAUUAUUCUUUGUAUUUUUAAUUUCUUUUUUUCUUUUUCUUCCUCUAACCAGUUGCCUAGCUUUUGGCAACUAGCCAAAAGCCACAACCAGCGAUGGUCGGCCUCGCCAACCUCAAGCAAGGCUUGGCCUCUGAGGGUUGGCCCUCAGGUGAGGUUGCCCCUCAUUGGAUCCUGGCGAGGGCGAGCCUUGCUCUCUACCGGCUGGGUUGCCCCUCGCUAGAUCAUGGCCUCUGGUUGGCGAGGUCAAUUCCUCAUUGAUUGUGGCCUUUGGCUAGUCAUGGGAGGUUGGGCCAUUGGUCAGAAAAUAUAAAGGAAAGAAAUUAAAAAAGAAAUUAAAAGCAUAAAAAAUUAAAAAAUUCGAAAAAAAUAUUAAAAAACUAAUAAAAUUGUCCAUGUUAACAUUGGUGUCCACAUUGGUAAAUUUCACCCAAAAUUGACCGGAUAAACUCAAUUGAUAAAAUUUAAAAAGAUUUAGGAUUCAAUUGGUAAAGUAGAAAAAUUUAGGAUUGAAUUGAUAAAAAUAUAAUAUGUUUAUAACUUUUUGAACAAUUUUCUCAAUCAAAUACAGCCCAAUUUAUCUGAAGUCCAGAAAAAAUGGAGCCGGUUUAUCCCUUUCUGUCUUCUUUUACCAAGCUAAAUUAUAUCCAAAAGAGAAAACCAAGAAGCACGUACAGAGGAGGAAUUACCUCCUUUUGGACGGCGGCGGCGGCGGCCAGCAUCUGAGCUCAACGAUUCUCCCUGUUUUGCAGUGACCCACCACCAAAGAUCUGCCAAAAAACCGGAAUUCAUUUGACCAGCGGCACAUAAAGACCUGAAAACGUGGUCCUGGAGAUUCCUUCUUGCACCGAUGAGAUCAAAGACGAAUGAACCCACGACAUAAUCGUUUACCUGAACGCAAAUUCCCGCUUGAACCGACGGCGAACGGAGAUGCAAAGAUACCGCGCGCGAAGAGAAGGAACCGACGCUGGAGGGGAAGAGGAGUGA
rnacentral:lncRNA from 1 species